UGGUGACCAUAGAGACGUGGAACCACCCGGUCCCAUUCCGAACCCGGAAGUGAAACGCGUCAUCGCCGAUGGUAGUGUGCCGCUAGGGCACGCGAGAGUAGGUCGUUGCCAGAGUU
rnacentral:rRNA from 1 species